rnacentral:rRNA from 1 species
AGAUUGAACGCUGGCGGCAGGCCUAACACAUGCAAGUCGAGCGGCAGCACGGGUACUUGUACCUGGUGGCGAGCGGCGGACGGGUGAGUAAUGCCUAGGAAUCUGCCUGGUAGUGGGGGAUAACGCUCGGAAACGGACGCUAAUACCGCAUACGUCCUACGGGAGAAAGCAGGGGACCUUCGGGCCUUGCGCUAUCAGAUGAGCCUAGGUCGGAUUAGCUAGUUGGUGAGGUAAUGGCUCACCAAGGCGACGAUCCGUAACUGGUCUGAGAGGAUGAUCAGUCACACUGGAACUGAGACACGGUCCAGACUCCUACGGGAGGCAGCAGUGGGGAAUAUUGGACAAUGGGCGAAAGCCUGAUCCAGCCAUGCCGCGUGUGUGAAGAAGGUCUUCGGAUUGUAAAGCACUUUAAGUUGGAGGAAGGCAGUUACCUAAUACGUAUCUGUUUGACGUUACCGACAGAAUAAGCACCGGCUAACUCUGU